AGUAAAGUCAGCUAAUUAAGCUCUUGGGCCCAUACCCCAAAUAUGUUGGUUAAACUCCUUCCUUUGCUA
rnacentral:tRNA from 2 species